GAACCGUGCGAACGUUGUUCGGAAUCACUGGGCUUAAAGGGCGCGUAGGCGGGCUGUCAAGUCCGGGGUGAAAUCUUUCGGCUUAACCGGAAAAGUGCCUUGGAUACUGGCAGUCUGGAGGGAGGUAGGGGCAUGUGGAACUUCCGGUGGAGCGGUGAAAUGCGUUGAUAUCGGAAGGAACGCCGGUGGCGAAAGCGACGUGCUGGACCUCUUCUGACGCUGAGGCGCGAAAGCUAGGGGAGCGAACGGGAUUAGAUACCCCGGUAGUCCUAGCCCUAAACGAUGGGUACUAGGUAGUAGACUUAACAUGGGUUUACUGCCGAAGCAAAAGUGCUAAGUACCCCGCCUGGGGAGUAUGGUCGCAAGGCUG
rnacentral:rRNA from 1 species